rnacentral:tRNA from 1 species
GCCUAGUUAGCUUAGUUGGUUGUGCGUCUGCCUUGUAAGCGCUAGGCCGCGGGUUCGAUUCCCGCGCGGGGCG